GUGGGGAAUAUUGGACAAUGGGCGAAAGCCUGAUCCAGCCAUGCCCCGUGUGUGAAGAAGGCCUUUUGGUUGUAAAGCACUUUAAGCGAGGAGGAGGCUACCGAGAUUAAUACUCUUGGAUAGUGGACGUUACUCGCAGAAUAAGCACCGGCUAACUCUGUGCCAGCAGCCGCGGUAAUACAGAGGGUGCAAGCGUUAAUCGGAUUUACUGGGCGUAAAGCGCGCGUAGGUGGCCAAUUAAGUCAAAUGUGAAAUCCCCGAGCUUAACUUGGGAAUUGCAUUCGAUACUGGUUGGCUAGAGUAUGGGAGAGGAUGGUAGAAUUCCAGGUGUAGCGGUGAAAUGCGUAGAGAUCUGGAGGAAUACCGAUGGCGAAGGCAGCCAUCUGGCCUAAUACUGACACUGAGGUGCGAAAGCAUGGGGAGCAAACAGGAUUAGAAACCCCGGUAGUCC
rnacentral:rRNA from 1 species